rnacentral:rRNA from 1 species
AUUGAACGCUGGCGGCAUGCCUAACACAUGCAAGUCGAACGGGGGUAGCAAUACCCUAGUGGCGGACGGGUGAGGAAUACAUAGGAAUUUGCCUUUAGGUGGGGGAUAGUCCGGGGAAACUCGGUUUAAUACCGCAUGAUGUCGCAAGACCAAAGCAGGGGAUCGCAAGACCUUGCGCCUUUAGAGAAGCCUAUGUCUGAUUAGCUAGUUGGUAGGGUAAUGGCCUACCAAGGCGACGAUCAGUAACUGGUCUGAGAGGACGAUCAGUCACACCGGAACUGAGACACGGUCCGGACUCCUACGGGAGGCAGCAGUGGGGAAUAUUGGACAAUGGGCGAAAGCCUGAUCCAGCAAUGCCGCGUGUGUGAAGAAGGCCUUCGGGUUGUAAAGCACUUUGAUCUGGGAAGAAAAAGCUUUGGCUAACAUCCAAAGCCUUGACGGUACCAGAGGAACAAGCACCGGCUAACUCUGUGCCAGCCGCCGCUGUAAAAC